ACAUCUACCGUUUCAGAAUUACUUUGUCUAAAAUCAA
rnacentral:sRNA from 1 species